ACAUUUGGGAUCAGAGUACGUGCAGAUCUGUAUGUUUUCUUUUAUGCAUGUCUCAACACGUGCAUAUGGUAAAAAAAGACAAAAACAAAAGCAGUUGAAGCGACCAUGGCUCUUGUUGACCCAUGUAUGUAUCUAUUUGCUUUUAUAUUUUGGUUGUUUCAGUCAUUAGACUGCAGCCAUGCUGGGGCACUUGCCUUGAAGGAUUUAGCCGAACAAAUCAACGCCUGGUAUGUCUUGUAACGGUGUCUUUUGUGGAACUGCUAGAUAAUGAUGAUGUAAAAAAAAAAAGACCAACAUUAGUUGUCAAGCAGUGGUGGUGGACAAACGCAAACAAAGGCACUCACAUCUAGAUAUACGCACCCGUCAUUCACACACACAUACACAGACACACACAUACACAGACACACACACACACACACUUAAACGGCGGGAUUCUUUCAGUUUCUGUCUACUAAAUCCACUCAAAAGGCUCCAGUCGGCUAAAGGCUAUAGUAGAAGACAGUCAUCCAAGUUGUCACUCAGUGGGACUGAACCCGGAACAUCAUACCACAAAGCCAUGCUUGCGGCUAUAUGUAUGUAUGUAUGUAUCACAAGGCCAGCAAUUUCGGGGAGCGGACAAAAUCUCUAUGGAGCCCUCUUCCGUGGUUCCUUAAAGACGUGCUUGCAUUACUAAAUGGUUAAUCCAGAUCUGUGCAUAUCUAUUAAAAGCAAUAAUACUCGAUAUGACGCACAUACACAAAACACACAUAUUCAUAUCUUAUUUCGUAACAUAAACACAGGCUCAUUUACUCUCAACCUUUGCACGUCAAUAGAUAAACAAAAAAGGCAUAGACAUGCUUAUAAAAAUGUUUUUACAUUGUAAUUAUUUCUUGUGAAUUACAGACGUGUAUACAACACAUAUCUCUAACACAUAAAGCAUACAGAAGCAUAUGAAAUGUAAGAGAACGCAUAUAUAUACGCAUUUACUAUUAAUCCAGCCACUCACUCCUUGUUACCUAUUCAUACACAUACACACGCAUUUAUACAUACACAGAGACACAUACACAUACAUAUACACACAUACAUGAAUGUAAUCUCUAUACAUCUCUUGAAAUAUGUGAAAUAGAAUAAUGACAGCAGAUAUGCAUAUAUGCACAGAUUUAUACAACGCUUGUGUAUAAAAAUACAUAAUUGCAUGAUAAUGCAUACGUACAUGCUUAUAUACUCAUUUUUACCCUUUUGCCAUACACACAUGCUCACGCGCACGCACACACACAUACACACACACAGACAACAUUGCAACAGUGACCUUUAUAAUGUUGCUGCAACAUUUCAAUUGCAUUUGAAAUUUAAAAUGUUAAUGCAUUUUUAUUUGUUU